rnacentral:tRNA from 1 species
GCGUCCAUAGCUCAACUGGAUAGAGCGUCUGACUUCGGAUCAGAAGGCUGAGGGUUCGAUUCCUUCUGGGCGCACCA